AGUUUGGUUUGGCUUAUAACCCCAAGAUUAGGGAUAUAUGUGGGCUCAAAAUAAUGUUUGGUUUCAAUAACAUAUUAAAGCAAAAGCCCAUGAUAAGUGUCAGCCCGUGUGAAAAACUCAGCGUUUCUACAGAUUAGAAAUCGUAGACCCCCCCUCCGUUUUGUAAUAUUGAGAAGGAAGUGGAUCCAGAUUAGAAAAAUUUUGACCAAAAAACUCUCUCCAUAUAAUUGAAAAAUCAGAAUUUGCAACAAAAUUUGUAGAACCCUAGGAUCAGUUUUGAACGAGAACUAUUCUUCACAAACGCAGAACCACGAACCCACAAAAGCGUCCAGCACACAUUCGGGUACUUCUGCCUCACCGGCCGCCGUAAAUCCGCACCCCUUCGCCGCCGCAUUUAAUCGCUGGAAAAUCUACCAAAUUGUGAGUCGGGGAGGACGGGAUUGAAGAAUCGCAGCUCAAUCUCAAGUGGGCUUCUUCACUCAUUUCCUGCAAAUCAAAAUCACAGAACACUAAGUUCCGGCCAAGGAUCGAUUAUCAGCCUGCUUCCAGAAUUGACAAAGAACGAGGGUCGCUCGAAGCAGUAUAGCAGUGAGCAUUAAUCAGCCGAUGCAAAGGACAAAACCUGGGCUAGAGAUGCUGUGUUAAAUGCAUUACAUGAUCCUUUGCUUGAUAUUGGUAUAGAGAGAGCUACUGGAAUUGUGUGGAAUAUAACUGGUGGUACUGAUCGAACAUUGUUUGAGGAAUAUUUGGAGCAUUUUUGGUCAACUUUUUGCUGGAAGAAAAUAUGUGGAAGGAAACCCUACAAUCUAGAAGAUUCGCCUGAUAUUUUUGUAAAUAUAAAUAUUAAUAAGGUUGUAGAAGUAAAACAAACGAUUAAUAUGGGUUUUAUUUUUCUAAACCAAACACAACAUAAAAUUAAUCCAAUGGGCCUUCUUUUAAACCAAA